AACUAAACAAAUGUAUAUUAUUGAUUGGAAGUAAACACUAAAUCUGCUUUUAUACCAGCUGAUGGCGGUGUGGCACAGUUUUGUUCUUUAUCACACCCAUAACCGACCGAAACAAGGAAGAAGAGCAACAACAACGGAGGUAUCCAAAGUGGGGCUUUGUUAAAUUCUUGUGUAAAAUCUGCACAGCCGAUUGCUUUUCCUCAAGCCUUUGAUUUUUAAGGGUUACUGUCGAUUGCGUUAGCUUCAUUGCUAGCAUCAACGGUUGAAAGUACCUUCAACGACCAAAAGGAAAAAAAAAAAAAGAAAAAAAAAACAAUAACCGUAUUUGCUCGUGUGUGUGUUUUUGAAAGACCUUUGUCUUUCGAGGUGGAUUGCUUGAACACAUGAAAGUAGCAAUGGAGGUGGAUAAGCCCAAGACGAAAACAAAGAAGCUUUCAAGGUCGAGGAGGAAACAAAACAAGAGAAAAACGAAUCCUGACAAAGAAAGAGAAAAUAAGCCUGAUUCUCCGUGGGACUCUGUUCCCUCCACACACGAGACUCCCAGCAAGGCAACAAAGUUUGAAAAUGGCUGCGACUCCCUCACUCUCAUAAAAGACGCAGUUGUGGUUUUGACUAAGCUGCCCGAAUAUAAAAUCGGCGCGCUGAGACCCCCGACGCCUCCGCAGUUCUACAGCGAAGACGAGUCCUUCAGCAGCUCGGAUUCGGACACGCAGUGGGAGUCGGAGGAGGACUCCAGCGAUUCGGAUUUCUGGGUCAUAAACAGCAAACUCAAAUAUUCGAACUCCUCCAAUUGCGACCUGAUAAGGAUGCCUACAACCAGUCACAACUGCAACGGUAUCUCCCUUUGCUCGCGUGACAAGAUCCGCCCCGACUUACCCGAAGAAGAAAUUCACGUUGACAUGAUGGUUAUUGCUCGUAGAAGACCUAUGAGGUGGCAGCGUGGUAAAAUAGUUGAAAUAAUUACAAAAGACGAUGGGCGGUUGAAGUACAAGGUCAGCUUUGAAGAUAAGGGGACGUGCCUCGUAUCCGGACACCACAUUGCUUUUGACAGCAGGCCCAAGGUGGAGCAGCUCUACAUCGGGGCCCGAGUGGUGGUCCGCUGUCAAAAUAAUAAGUACCGGUUCCGACCCGGAAUACUGGCUGAGCUGCCCAGCAGGAAAAAUCAGUUCAGGUUUCUGAUGUUCAUGGAUGACCACACACCAGUUUAUGUCGGGCUUCCUUUGUUUCACAUGGUGUGCAGACCUUUGGAAGAUGUUUUGGACGACGUUCCCGACGGAGCGCACAAAUGCUUUAUGAGACAGUACCUGAAGGACUGGCCGUACCCUCACUUAAACAAGUACAGAGCUGGACAGAGCUUUAACGUGGAGCUUAAUGGAGUCAUGCAGAUGUGUGAGGUUGUUGUGAUCGACUGCAGCUUAAUGCAAGUUGUUUUUCAGGAAAAUCAGCGAAGGGAGUGGAUCUUCAGAGGCUCUGUGCGACUGGAGCACAUUGCCAGACUGUGGGAGGAGAGGAACAAGCUAGAGUCCAAGGACGACUCUGACUCUGAUUAAUCCAUAGAUGCAGUUGUUGCAGUGCGGAUGGAGAGAAAAGAAAUAGAGAUAAGCAAAGAAGAGCUCCAAAGCUUGAUCAGAGAUGAGGUUCACAAACCCAGGCUGUCCACCGCUGGCACUCUUAUGAAAUACCGGCUGCUGCAGUCUCUACUAGAAAGAAGGCAAACACUGGCAACCAGAUUUUUAAAGCUCUGUCAGUCUGUUGUGAUAUUUGAGAACACUGUGAAGGAACUGUACUCUCUGUUGGGAUGGGAGUUCACCGACUUGGAUUCUGACAGUGAGGACAGUGAAGAACCCACGAGCUGCAGGCGUACUUUACCAUUUGUGUUUGUUUCUUCGGGGGAUCGUAUUUGCAGACCUUCAGCUUCCAGGGACUCGACUUCACAGUCACCAGUGUCGGAACUUGAAGAACGUCAGGAGGAAAUUGAUAGUCAAAAAAGCCUCAGUGUCGCUUUAGAAAAAGAAGCUGUGGUGGUUUUGAGUAAACUUACAGAUUCUGAGAUUUCUGCCGCUAUCCCGCCUCUUUUGUCCGACUCUGACAGCGAUAACGAGGAUAAUUUAAGCUCUCCGGAG